rnacentral:rRNA from 1 species
CCUACGGGCGGCAGCAGUGGGGAAUAUUGGACAAUGGGCGAAAGCCUGAUCCAGCCAUGCCGCGUGUGUGAAGAAGGCCUUCGGGUUGUAAAGCACUUUCAGUGGGGAAGAAAGCCUUGGGGCUAAUACCCUCGAGGAAGGACAUCACCCACAGAAGAAGCACCGGCUAACACCGUGCCAGCAGCCGCGGUAAUACGGAGGGUGCGAGCGUUAAUCGGAAUUACUGGGCGUAAAGCGCGCGUAGGCGGUCUGAUAAGCCGGUUGUGAAAGCCCCGGGCUCAACCUGGGAACGGCAUCCGGAACUGUCAGGCUAGAGUGCAGGAGAGGAAGGUAGAAUUCCCGGUGUAGCGGUGAAAUGCGUAGAGAUCGGGAGGAAUACCAGUGGCGAAGGCGGCCUUCUGGACUGACACUGACGCUGAGGUGCGAAAGCGUGGGUAGCAAACAGGAUUAGAUACCCCAGUAGUC